rnacentral:rRNA from 1 species
UACAGAGGGUGCGAGCGUUAAUCGGAAUUACUGGGCGUAAAGCGUGCGUAGACGGUUUCGUAAGUCGGGUGUGAAAUCCCCGGGCUCAACCUGGGAAUUGCAUUCGAAACUGCGAGGCUAGGGUACGGAAGAGGGAAGCGGAAUUUCUGGUGUAGCGGUGAAAUGCGUAGAUAUCAGAAGGAACACCUGUGGUGUAGACAGCUUACUGGACCAUGACUGACGCUGAGGCACGAAAGCGUGGGUAGCAAACAGG